UGGAAAGGGGUCGACACUUCAAAGAAGAAGGCUACGUUCGCAAUAUGAUGUACAAUGAAGUGUCACCGCAGAGUGCCGUAGGAGUGUUACGUGCGAUUUGCCUGCCAUCGAUGAAGGGUGGAUACUACGUGGUUCACGCUGCACUCCGGAAGGAUAACGGAGCCGUCUCCGAGGCGCAUUGCCUUUGUCCGGCUGGAUUAAGUGGAACAUGCCAGCACGUUGUUGGUCUUUUACUGACUGCAGCCAGUGUAGCUUCCCUCGAGCCUACGUGCACGGAUCUUCCGUGCGCUUGGAUUGUCCCUCCGGCAGCCAAGAAGCUUGAACCUUCAAAGCCUUUGAAGGACAUUGCUUUCAAGGUGGCAAGUCCCAACACGGAAAAUGCAAGCAAGAGAAAGAGGUGCUAUGACCCUUGUCCAGAGGCAUUCCCUUGUGAUUUAGACACAUUCCAGAGAAAUCUGCAGGAUGCGUCACCCCGAGCAUUGUGGCUUCGCUAUAACAAGCACCAGUCCAGUCGCCACCUGCUCAACAGCUCGUGGGUGCCACAAGCUUGCAACCGGAAGUGAAAAUUCGCCGCUGGAACCGAGCGCAGUCCGUUUGGAAACUACCCACCAAAAUGGAUUAACCUUGCAGCCUCUGGGUGUGUGCACCGGGACAAGGAAGGGCCUGGCCGCCUCUUUGUAGAGCCAACCUAGGGACCACUCAACCUUGAGGAAGGAGAGAGCACCGGUCCCCCUUCCUCAUAGGGCACCCCUUUUCUGACGCAAGGCUUCGGCUAUUAAACGCAGAAAUAAGAUGUUUAAGAUAAUAAUAAUAAUAAAUUGUUCUGGCAGUUUCUACAUAAAUGUACACUGCGAUAAAUUCACUGCACAUUAGCGCAACUUUACUGCCGGUAAUAGUUCGGUUUAUUGCAUUUGAUGCAUAACAAGAUUAACGUGUUUAUUACCUAGUAGCUGGCAAAAAAAAUUUCAUCUAAUCAAGGCGUCACUAAGCACAGCCCACACAAGGACACCAUUGAAAGAAGCGAAGACUCAAAACAAUGUGUGUGUGUGCGUGCGCGCGCGUGCGCUUUUCUGUCAUGGAGCGUUUCGUGCACCGUUCUUAGUCAUGCAUGAUUCGUAAACUCAACCACACUUCCGCCAUAGUAAUUCAAGCUCUUUAAGUUCUACUACAGCCUCCAAGACGCUGCUCAUAUUUGUUCGCCCCCUUUGGACUCUAUUGUCCCUGGACGUACAAAGCAACACUUAAUGUGUCACCACUGGGCCACAAUCCUCACAAGGUCUGUUUCUGAACUCUUCACAUAGAACCGUGAUUUAUUCAUUUAUCUGACUAACUUUUCUUUCACCACUUUUUUGCUUGCAUGUUUGUCAUGGCCUCGUUAUUUCUUUUUUCAUGAAGACGGACAAAAGCGAAAUUAUUGGUCUGCAAGCUGCCAAUGCCAAGCCAUAAGAAGCUCAACAUUCACCAUAAUGACAACAGGUCCUCUUGAACUAUGUGCCUCACCAUGAAAAUAUUGCAAUUUUGCCAGAUAGAUGGGUGUGAGCAUCAGGAAAGCAGCAGUCUACAGUUUUGUAUCGUACCCAGUGGGAAAGCUAAAAUUUUACAUAGAAGCUUACUUGCAUUUAAGGGCGUUUUAUGACAACCGGAGAAGUAACUAGUUCAGUCCCAACUUAUUUCUUUUCAAGUAAUUAUAACCAUGACAUCCAAAAGAGAAACAAUGUAACAAGCUUCUACUUGCUAAUUAAAAAACUAUGUCAUCUAUGCCACAGCAAUGAAAACUACCCUAAACUUACCCAAUCUUUCAUCCUGUAGAAAAUGCGCUGGCUUUUCGCUAUUUCAUAAAAUUUUCCACUUUAACCCUGUAUUAAAAGAGCAGCUUCUCACACAGCCGUUUUAUGUUUCAUGUCGAUCAAACCAUUGCUUUAAAGUAGGUGUGCCGUCAUGUAAGACAAAUCUUUACAGUGAUUCUUUCAUUCCUCGAACAAGCACGGAAUGAAACCAUCUUCCCACUGCCAUUGCCGCCAUCACAGACAAUACUAACUUCAAGAACGCCAUUCAACAUGCCCUUGCUGAAAUCCAAUGUUCUUUGCACAAAUUGUUUGUUAUGUUUGCCCCACUCCUUUCUAUAGUGCCUCCGGGCCCUGAAAGUAAAUAAAUAAAUCUGCUCAUUGCAAAUCAGUUUGACGGGCAUUACCACCAAGUAUCACAUGGUUCCUCACAACGUUAAUUUGUUACAUGAAAAUACAAAUAAUUUUAAAACCUUCAGAAACGCUCAAUGCAAUUUUGAGGAAGUUA